rnacentral:tRNA from 3 species
GGUCCCGUAGCUCAGCAGGAUAGAGCAGCGGUUUCCUAAACCGGAGGUCAGGGGUUCGAAUCCCUUCGGGACCGCCA